rnacentral:rRNA from 1 species
GACGAACGCUGGCGGCGUGCCUAAUACAUGCAAGUCGAGCGCAGGAAGUCAUCCGAACCCUUCGGGGGGACGUUGACGGAAUGAGCGGCGGACGGGUGAGUAACACGUAAAGAACCUGCCCUCAGGUCUGGGAUAACCACGAGAAAUCGGGGCUAAUACCGGAUGGGUCAUCGGACCGCAUGGUCCGAGGAUGAAAGGCGCUCCAGCGUCGCCUGGGGAUGGCUUUGCGGUGCAUUAGCUAGUUGGUGGGGUAAUGGCCCACCAAGGCGACGAUGCAUAGCCGACCUGAGAGGGUGAUCGGCCACACUGGGACUGAGACACGGCCCAGACUCCUACGGGAGGCAGCAGUAGGGAAUCUUCCACAAUGGACGAAAGUCUGAUGGAGCAACGCCGCGUGAACGAUGAAGGCCCUCGGGUCGUAAAGUUCUGUUGUAAGGGAAGAACAAGUGCCGCAGGCAAUGGCGGCACCUUGACGGUACCUUGCGAGAAAGCCACGGCUAACUACGUG